rnacentral:rRNA from 1 species
GAUAAGGAGCUUGCUCCUUUGACGUUAGCGGCGGACGGGUGAGUAACACGUGGAUAACCUACCUAUAAGACUGGGAUAACUUCGGGAAACCGGAGCUAAUACCGGAUAACAUAUUGAACCGCAUGGUUCAAUAGUGAAAGGCGGCUUUGCUGUCACUUAUAGAUGGAUCCGCGCCGUAUUAGCUAGUUGGUAAGGUAACGGCUUACCAAGGCAACGAUACGUAGCCGACCUGAGAGGGUGAUCGGCCACACUGGAACUGAGACACGGUCCAGACUCCUACGGGAGGCAGCAGUAGGGAAUCUUCCGCAAUGGGCGAAAGCCUGACGGAGCAACGCCGCGUGAGUGAUGAAGGUCUUCGGAUCGUAAAACUCUGUUAUCAGGGAAGAACAAAUGUGUAAGUAACUGUGCACAUCUUGACGGUACCUGAUCAGAAAGCCACGGCUAACUACGUGCCAGCAGCCGCGGUAAUACGGAGGGUGG